UGUGUGUGUGUGUGUGUGUGUGUGUGUGUGUGUGUGUGAGGUACAAAGGCUACAGGAUUACUGAAGUGGAGACGCACACAAACACGAUCUCUGGGUCAGGGGGACACAUCUCUCUUCUAAUUUAAAGCGACAGAGGAGCAAGCCAGCUCUGCGUUUAUCUGCUCUGAUGACAAUCAGCAGAACCUCCCAAACUAUUGUACCCUCAAACUGUACCGCCGUCAGCCAAAACCUAACCUCAGCAUGCAGAGGAGCUGCCUCUCUGACCGCUGGUAGCAUCAUCCCAGGUCAGGAUGAGGGGCACGUCGUCAUCGGUACCCUCCAUUCUCCCGGACUGGCAAGAUGAAAUCCACAGGAAGUGAUGUCACUGAGUACUCCCCAUUUAUAGAACCUUUCACCCCCACCUGGGGUAUGGAUGCCUGAUGAAGACCUAAGGGUUGAAAUCUUAUAAUAAAAUCACCUGGGAGCAUGA